rnacentral:rRNA from 1 species
AACGCGAAGAACCUUACCUGGGCUCGAACGGCUUCAGACCGUCGUGGAAACACGAUCUUCCCCUUAAAAGGACUGGAGUCGAGGUGCUGCAUGGCUGUCGUCAGCUCGUGUCGUGAGAUGUUGGGUUAAGUCCCGCAACGAGCGCAACCCUUGUCCUGUGUUGCCACUCCCCCUUAAAAGGGAAGCACUCUCAGGAGACCGCCAGCGAUAAGCUGGAGGAAGGUGGGGAUGAUGUCAAGUCAUCAUGGCCUUUAUGUCCAGGGCUACACACGUGCUACAAUGGGCGGUACAAAGCGCUGCAAACCCGCGAGGGGGAGCUAAUCGCAAAAAACCGUUCUCAGUUCGGAUCGCAGGCUGCAACUCGCCUGCGUGAAGCUGGAAUCGCUAGUAAUGGCGUAUCAGAAUGAUGCCGUGAAUACGUUCCCGGGCCUUGUA